UACGUAGGGUGCGAGCGUUGUCCGGAAUUAUUGGGCGUAAAGAGCUCGUAGGCGGUGUGUCGCGUCGGCCGUGAAAACCUGCAGCUUAACUGUGGGCUUGCGGUCGAUACGGGCAUCACUGGAGUUCGGCAGGGGAGACUGAAUCAGGUGUAGCGGUGAAAUGCGUAGAUAUCUGGAGGAACACCGGUGGCGAAGGCGGCAUCCUGGACCAACACUGACACUGAGGAGGCGAAAGCCAGGGGAGCAA
rnacentral:rRNA from 1 species